rnacentral:rRNA from 1 species
GACGAACUGUGCGAACGUUAUUCGGAAUCACUGGGCUUACAGGGUGCGUAGGCGGCUUGUUAAGUAGGGUGUGAAAGCCCCCGGCUCAACCGGGGAAUGGCGCCCUAAACUGGCGAGCUAGAGUGAGAUAGGGGUGUGUGGAACUUCCGGUGGAGCGGUGAAAUGUGUUGAUAUCGGAAGGAACGCCGGUGGCGAAAGCGACACACUGGAUCUUGUCUGACGCUGAGGCACGAAAGCCAGGGGAGCGAACGGG